UACGAAGGGGGCGAGCGUUGUUCGGAUUUACUGGGCGUAAAGGGCGCGCAGGCGGCGCAUUUUGUCAGGCGUGAAAGCCCCGGGCUUAACCUGGGAACUGCGUUUGAUACGGAUGGGCUAGAGUUCGGGAGAGGAGAGUGGAAUUCCCAGUGUAGAGGUGAAAUUCGUAGAUAUUGGGAAGAACACCGGUGGCGAAGGCGGCCUGCUGGGGUGGAGCUGACGCUGAGGCGCGACAGCGUGGGGAGCAAACAGG
rnacentral:rRNA from 1 species